rnacentral:misc_RNA from 1 species
UGGCUCUCGCAUCGAUGAAGAACGCAGCGAAAUGCGAUAAGUAAUGUGAAUUGCAGAAUUCAGUGAAUCAUCGAAUCUUUGAACGCACCUUGCGCCCCUUGGUAUUCCGAGGGGCAUGCCUGUUUGAGUGUCAUGUUCUUCUCAAUCUCUUCACCUUUGGGUGAAGGGCUUGGAUUUGGAGGCUUGCUGGUACUUUGUAUGUUGGCUCCUCUUAAAUACAUUAGCUGGACUUGUAGUUCGCGUUGUUUGGUGUAAUAGUCUUAUAUAUUCACUACAGUGCUUGCUCUAAUGGUCUGCUUCUAAUGGUCCCUUGUGGACAGGUUACUUUGUAACCUUUUUGACCCCUUUGACCUCAAAUCAGGUAGGACUACCCGCUGA